rnacentral:tRNA from 1 species
UCCGUUGUCGUCUAGCGUUAGGAUAUCUGGCUUUCACCCAUGAUACCUGGGUUUGAUUCCCUGUAAUAGAA